rnacentral:rRNA from 1 species
UACGAAGGGGGCUAGCGUUGCUCGGAAUCACUGGGCGUAAAGCGCACGUAGGCGGAUCUUUAAGUCAGGGGUGAAAUCCUGGAGCUCAACUCCAGAACUGCCUUUGAUACUGGGGAUCUCGAGUCCGGAAGAGGUGAGUGGAACUCCGAGUGUAGAGGUAAAAUUCGUAGAUAUUCGGAAGAACACCAGUGGCGAAGGCGGCUCACUGGUCCGGUACUGACGCUGAGGUGCGAAAGCGUGGGGAGCAAACAGG